rnacentral:rRNA from 1 species
GACGGAGGAUGCAAGUGUUAUCCGGAAUCACUGGGCGUAAAGCGUCUGUAGGUGGUUCAAUAAGUCAACUGUUAAAUCUUGAGGCUCAACUUCAAAAAUCGCAGUCGAAACUAUUGGACUCGAGUAUAGUAGGGGUAAAGGGAAUUUCCAGUGGAGCGGUGAAAUGCGUAGAGAUUGGAAAGAACACCAAUGGCGAAAGCACUUUACUGGGCUAUUACUGACACUGAGAGACGAAAGCUAGGGUAGCAAAUGGGGAUUA